UACGAAGGGGGGCUAGCGUUGCUCGGAAUCACUGGGCGUAAAGCGCACGUAGGCGGCUUCUUAAGUCAGGGGUGAAAUCCUGGAGCUCAACUCCAGAACUGCCUUUGAUACUGAGUAGCUUGAGUCCGGGAGAGGUGAGUGGAACUGCGAGUGUAGAGGUGAAAUUCGUAGAUAUUCGCAAGAACACCAGUGGCGAAGGCGGCUCACUGGCCCGGUACUGACGCUGAGGUGCGAAAGCGUGGGGAGCAAACAGG
rnacentral:rRNA from 1 species